GAGUUUGAUCGUGGCUCAGGAUGAACGCUGGCGGCGUGCCUAAUACAUGCAAGUCGAGCGAACAGACGAGGAGCUUGCUCCUCUGACGUUAGCGGCGGACGGGUGAGUAACACGUGGAUAACCUACCUAUAAGACUGGGAUAACUUCGGGAAACCGGAGCUAAUACCGAAUAAUAUAUUGAACCGCAUGGUUCAAUAGUGAAAAACGGUUUUGCUGUCACUUAUAGAUGGAUCCGCGCCGCAUUAGCUAGUUGGUAGGGUAACGGCUUACCAAGGCGACGAUGCGUAGCCGACCUGAGAGGGUGAUCGGCCACACUGGAACUGAGACACGGUCCAGACUCCUACGGGAGGCAGUAGUAGGGAAUCUUCCGCAAUGGGCGAAAGCCUGACGGAGCAACGCCGCGUGAGUGAUGAAGGUCUUCGGAUCGUAAAACUCUGUUAUUAGGGAAGACAAAUGUGUAAGUAACUAUGCACGUCUUGACGGUACCUAAUCAGAAAGCCACGGCUAACUACGUGCCAGCAGCCG
rnacentral:rRNA from 1 species